CUGACUGGUUCAUAGCAAAAGUAGGUUGAAGCCCACCAGGAGGCAUUGAGCUUUGAAGGUUGUGAGUUGCCGGGAGAGAAGCAGAGAUGAGGUUUCAGGAGCUGCUGGAGAGAAAAGGUGUUCGUGUAGCCUUGGGUAGCGGGGCCGUUACGUUAUAUCCUCAGGAAAGAAAAAAAGAGAGUGAAGUCGCUCAGUCAUGUCUGACUCUUUGCGACCCUAUGGACUGUAGCCUACCAGGCUUGUCUUCUCUGUCCAUGGGAUUCUUCAGGCAAGAAUACUGGAGUGGGUUACCAUUUCCUUCUUCAGGGGAUCUUCCUGACCCAGGGAUCGAACCCGAGUCUCCCGCAUUGGGGGCAGGCUCUUUAACCUCUGAGCCAUCAGGGACCCUCAGGAAAAGGAGCUGUAAAUCCUGGAAGCCAGAUUCUGAUCUGCUCCCUCCCAGAAGAAACCAUAGUUGUGUCAAUCUCUGCCCCCUGGGCAGGUCCUGGCGCCAGAACCACACAUCAGGGAGCUCCUGCCCCAGGAGGUGCAUGAAGAGGCCUUAGGCUGGACCUGCCCACCCUGCCCAGUCACCGGUGGGACAUCUCUACCCGGCUGCACCUUAUGUGUCUCCUGCCUUUGGUGACCACCACCUCUCCCUUGGGCUCCCAGGUCUGGAAACUUUGAGUUAUCUCAGAGUCUUCCCACUUCCUCUUCUGCUCCCACAGGUAGGCAGUCACCUUGUUUUGAUUUUCUCUCUGAAAGGCCCCUCCAAGGAUUUCCCCUCCUUUCCCUGGUUGUGGCCUUUAUCAGCCCUCCCGUGGACCAAGAUGUGCCAGCAUUCAUUCCUCCUCCUUUCAGCAGGAGGUCGGCAUUCACCCUCUUGGUAAUUUCCCACCCUCCCCUUUGCCCUGAGAACACACCCUACACAGCCACUAGGUUCUUAACAGUCGUGUCACCCAGACUGUCUUCUUUUUUUUAAUUUAAAUUUAUUUUAAUUUCAGGCUAAUUACUUUACAAUAUUGUAGUGGUUUUUGCCAUAUAUUGACACCUAUCAGCCAUGGGUGUACAUGUCAGACUGUCUUCUUUUCACUUCAUCUGUUGUUUUGUGAAGUAUUCCAAGGUCGAUUACAGAUGUGACAUUUCACCCUGAAACAUUUUAGUAUGCAUCUUUAAAAAAAUAGAGAAAAUUUCCUAUAUAAUCGUACUAUCAUUAAUAACAUUAUUUUCUCGUGUCUAAUCUUCUGUUAUAUUCAUAUUUGCCUAGUUGUUCCAAUACGUUGGCCACCUGUGGAGAAGGGCUGAUUCACUGGAAAAGACCCUGAUGCUGGGAAAGAUUGAGGGCAGGAGGAGAAGGGGACAACAAAGGAUGAGAUGAUUGGACGGGAUCAUUGACUCAAUGGACAUGAGUGUGAGCAAGCUCCGGGAGAUGGAGAAGGACAGGGAAGGCUGGCAGACUGCAGUCCAUGGGGUCACAAAGAGUCAGACAUGACUUAGCAACUGAAUGACAAGUUCUUCCUAAAAUGUCUUUAGAUUCAGUCAACGACCAAGCAUUAUGCUUAGUGUUUUGGUAGCUAAAGUUUCUCAGUCUUGACUGCAGACCACCUCCCUGCCCACCAUUUGUCACCACAUCCUUCCCCAGCCCUGUGAGCCAGCCAACCCCAAUAUGCCACGAGGGAUCUUUAGUUCCCAUGCCCCUGCACUGGAAGGGCUUCGUUUUUUUAAUUGAUUUAUUUUUGGCUGCGCUGGGUCUUCAUUGCUGCAUGUGGGCUUUCUCCACUUGUGGUGUGUGGGCUUCUCAUCACAGUGUCUUCUCUUGUUGCAGAACACAGGCUCUAGGGAGUGCAGGCUUCAGUAGUUGUGUUACACAGGCUUAGCUGCCCUAUGGCAUGUGGGAUCUUCCUGGACCAGAGAUCGAACUAGUGUCUCCUGCACUGCAAGGCAGAUUCUUAACCACUGGACCACCAGGAAAGUUCCUGCCAUGGACUUUUAAAACUAAUCCUUUUUACACUUGACCCUUUCCUUGUCCCUGGAACUGAGCGACUGCCCUUUUAUUGUUUAAGGUCACCUCAGAGAGUAGGGCUUCCCAAGUGGCACUUGUGGUAAAGAACUCAACUGCCAAUGCAGGAGACAUAAGAGGCGCAGGUUCGAUCCCUGUGUCAGGAAGAUCCCUUGGAGGAAGGUAUGGCAACCCACUCCAGUAUUCUUGCCUGGAGAAUCCCUUGGACAGAGGAGCCUGGUGGGCUACAGUCCAUGGGGUCACAAAGAGUCGGAUACGACUGAGUGACUAACACAUACACCUCAGAGAGCACCAAGCACCUCGGUGAAAUUCAUUCUUUUUUGUUUUUCUCUGGGGCAGAGGCACCACCCGUCCCUCCCUCUGAGCUCAUCCAGCUGCCACCAGGGGUUUCUGCCUCUGUUCACAGCGUGGGCUUGCUUCUGCCUGCUGGCACAGCACGGGGCCACCAAUUCUCUUGCCACACUGGCCCUGUGCCCAGCACAUGGCUGGCAGAAACAGAUGAAUACUCCUUACUUCAGCAUCUUGGUUCCUCCUUCACAGCUCACCUGCAGUGAUAACUGGGAAACAAAGUCCAGAAGUGGAGAAGGACAUGGCGAUCCACUCCAGUGUUCUUGCUUGGAGAGUGCCAUGGACAGAAGAGCCUAGUGGGCUCCAGUCCAUGGGGUUGCACAGGGUUGGACAGGACUGAAGCGACUUAGCAGGCAUGCAGGCACGCCAGGUCCACAAGGGCCUCGGUGUGUCUUACUGGAAGAUUGUGAUCCUGGAAGCUGGUUCUCAGCCCAGCCCAGAUGGCCUUCCUUUUGCUCUUAGUUUCUUUCCUUCCUUGACAUGUACUGAGGCUCAGGAAAUGGUUCUUCAGGCUGGCUGAGAAGAAUCUGAGGGGCGGGGCCCAGGCGG
ensembl:lncRNA